GGUUAAGUUAGAAAGGGCGCACGGUGAAUGCCUUGGCACUAGGAGCCGAUGAAGGACGGGACUAACACCGAUAUGCUUUGGGGAGCUGUACGUAAGCUUUGAUCCAGAGAUUUCCGAAUGGGGAAACCUACUAUGCUUGGUCGCAUAGUGUCUUCAACUGAAUACAUAGGUUGUUGACGGCAGACGCAGGGAACUGAAACAUCUUAUUACCUGCAGGAAGAGAAAGAAAAAUCGAUUUCCUAAGUAGCGGCGAGCGAAACGGAAACAGCCCAAACCAAAGAGCUUGCUCUUUGGGGUUGUAGGACACUCUACACGGAGUUACAAAAAGAAAACGUUUUAGUUGAGUAACCUGGAAAAGGUUAAACCAAA
rnacentral:ncRNA from 1 species